AUGCUGCCGCCGAGCCGGCGCCCGCCCGCGCCCGGCUCGCCCACGCACGCGCCGCGGAGCCACCACAGCGCCGACCUGUCGGCGAGGAGCCCCAGGCGGAUCCGCCUCAUGCACGCCGCCGCGUCGAGGCUGCUGGAGCCGGGCGCGCGCGAGCUCGAGGGCCGGCGCCAGGCUGCAGGCCAUCGCGUACGCCUGCUCCUCGCCGCAGCACCGCGGCCACCCCGGCGCCCCGCAGCAGAGCUGGGGCACGCCAGGCUGCAAACCAGACGAACUAUUCCGACUCAUCGGCUCCUCUCAUUAAUGCUGAGACUAUAUAUAAUUCCAAUGAUCAAUCACCUGAGUUUCACAAGAGCUAUCAGGGUGACCAAGGGGCUGAUUCUCCUGCUAUGUGCACAAAUGACGAGCCCAAUCAGCCGAGCCCAACAUCUGUCCUCGAAGCAUGCUUCUCACACGAUGCUUCCUCCUCAGGAAGUCCAACUGAAAAGAUCGAGUUCUCCAGUGCAUGAUUUUGAGUUCCUAGAAGGCAGGCUCCACAGCAUCGGAGAAGCCAUUGCAAAUGUUGAGCUACUUCUGGACAGCAGCCUCUUCUGUGGCACACCGUCAAGUCUAUCACUCCAUUCAUUCAUAGUUGAGAUGCUGGAGACCGUUGAGGCCGUCUUUGGCGAUGGAUCAGAGAGCAGCUUCGGCUUCCAGGAAGAAAACAACUUUCAACGCACCAACUUCCUGUUCGACUGCAUCGUCGAGUCGCUGGACUCGAAGUUCCGCGACUUCGGGAAAUGCGGGUACAAGGCUUUGUUGCGAAUGCCUCUCACCAUGAGCAAAGACCUGCUGAAGAGGGAGAUAUCCAAAGAGAUCGGCAGCUGGAGCGAUGUUUCAUCGGACCGUGCUGCGGAGAAGGAGCUGGACCAGGUGGCAGCGGCAAGGUGUGACAGGUGCCGGACCGAGGCGUUCGACAUCAGCGUCGCCAUCGAGGACGACAUACUCGAGGCCCUCGUCGGUGAGUUCGCCUUCGACCAAUGCUGCUGA
rnacentral:rRNA from 1 species